UCCAGGCCCAAACAGAUCAUAAAAAAUAACAUAAAACAGGUCCAGGCCCAUCUGACAACCGCCCGAUGCCUAAUUUCACCGUCGGGCGGUUUCCCUCAAGCCACAGAACCGCCUGGCGCCACGGUCAACCGCCCGGCGCUGGUCAACUGCACUCUGCUCAACUUUUCAGCAUUCUGGUCAACUGGUUGACUGGUUCACUUUUCUGGUUGACCGGUUGACUUUUAUGCAUUUUGUUUGACUUUUCUACACUCCAACCAUUUGAUAAUUCAACCAUUCUUUCAAAUCAUUCCAAAAACCUUUAUCAUUGCCGCCGGGUGGUGCGUCGACUCUUCAAAUCUUCAUUUUUCUGCUCUUUUCCUGAGUCAACAACCUGUAUCUUUAACUUCAUUCUUUACUUUUCUCAAAUUAGCUACAAAACAAUGCAAAACAAACAUAAAAUCGCUAAAAACAGCUUUUGACUCUCUUCAGACUCAUUUAUUGAGUUUUGCUUGAUUCUAAGCUCAUUCCGAGUAGUAAAGGGUGUAAUUUGGUCCAAAUUGACAUAUGAAAAUAACUAUUUUUCAACCUUCAUCAACACCCCAAACUUA
rnacentral:lncRNA from 1 species